rnacentral:ncRNA from 1 species
UUCCCUUCGGGGCAGGGGUGACAGGUGGUGCAUGGUUGUCGUCAGCUCGUGUCGUGAGAUGUUGGGUUAAGUCCCGCAACGAGCGCAACCCUUAUCCUUAGUAGCCAGCAGUCAGAUGGGAACUCUAGGGAGACUGCCAGGGAUAACCUGGAGGAAGGUGGGGAUGACGUCAAAUCAUCAUGCCCCUUAUGAUUUGGGCUACACACGUGCUACAAUGGCGUAAACAAAGGGAAGCGAAACCGCGAGGUCAAGCAAAUCCCAAAAAUAACGUCUCAGUUCGGAUUGUAGUCUGCAACUCGACUACAUGAAGCUGGAAUCGCUAGUAAUCGCGAAUCAGAAUGUCGCGGUGAAUACGUUCCCGGGUCUUGUACACACCGCCCGUCACACCAUGGGAGUCGAUAACGCCCGAAGUCAGUGACCCAACCUUAUAGGAGGGAGCUGCCGAAGGCGGGAUUGAUAACUGGGGUGAAGUCGUAACAAGGUAGCCGUAUCGGAAGGUGCGGCUGGAUCACCUCCUUU